rfam:Xenopus laevis strain J chromosome 5S, whole genome shotgun sequence.
AGUCAGUGAUGACUAGUAAAAGGUCUGAUUGCAUUGCGCUUCCCUAACACACCAAAUCAUCUCCCGGCAGUCCCUUUUUUUCUUUUUCCAUCCUGCUCUAGCUGUGCAGUGAUGGGCAACAGGUCUGCUGCAAUUUAGGGAUAAUCCAUAAUACCAAAGCUCUGUAAGAAUUCAUAGCUGUGGUAGCAUUGGGCAUCCAACAUAUCCAUUAUAAAGGAGACUUAAGGUGUAAGGUUUGAAGCAAUACGCUUUGCAUGAUCUCUAGUUUUCAAUCUGAGACU